rnacentral:rRNA from 1 species
CGGCGGACGGGUGAGUAACGCGUGGGUAGCCUGCCUCAUACAGGGGGAUAACAGUUAGAAAUGACUGCUAAUACCGCAUAAGACCACAGCACCGCAUGGUGCGGGGGUAAAAACUCCGGUGGUAUGAGAUGGACCCGCGUCUGAUUAGCUGGUUGGUAAGGUAACGGCUUACCAAGGCGACGAUCAGUAGCCGACCUGAGAGGGUGACCCGGCCACAUUGGGACUGAGACACGGCCCAA